rnacentral:rRNA from 1 species
CCUACGGGAGGCUGCAGUGAGGAAUAUUGGUCAAUGGGCGCAAGCCUGAACCAGCCAAGUCGCGUGAGGGAUGACGGUCCUAUGGAUUGUAAACCUCUUAUGUCGGGGAGCAAGGCCCGCCACGUGUGGCGGGAAGGAGAGUACCCGAAGAAAAAGCAUCGGCUAACUCCGUGCCAGCAGCCGCGGUAAUACGGAGGAUGCGAGCGUUAUCCGGAUUUAUUGGGUUUAAAGGGUGCGUAGGCGGAAGGUUAAGUCAGCGGUAAAAUGUCGGUGCUCAACACCGGCCUGCCGUUGAAACUGGUCUUCUUGAGUGAGCGAGAAGUAUGCGGAAUGCGUGGUGUAGCGGUGAAAUGCAUAGAUAUCACGCAGAACUCCGAUUGCGAAGGCAGCAUACCGGCGCUCAACUGACGCUGAGGCACGAAAGCGUGGGGAUCGAACAGGAUUAGAUACCCUUGUAGUC